UACGAAGGGUGCAAGCGUUAAUCGGAAUUACUGGGCGUAAAGGGUGCGUAGGCGGUUCGUUAAGUCUGUCGUGAAAUCCCCGGGCUCAACCUGGGAAUGGCGAUGGAUACUGGCGAGCUAGAGUGUGUCAGAGGAUGGUGGAAUUCCCGGUGUAGCGGUGAAAUACGUAGAUAUCGGGAGGAACACCUGAGGCGAAGGCGGGCUACUGGGCCGAUACUGACGCUGAUGCGCGAAAGCCAGGGGAGCAAACGGG
rnacentral:rRNA from 1 species